rnacentral:lncRNA from 1 species
GGAGGAGUGAAAGCCCAAGGCCCAUCUGGGCAACUUGGUGAACCAGUCUCAAAAUGAAAAUAAGAAACCUACAGUGUAGCUUGGUGGUAGAACACUCGCCUAGCAUGUGUGAAGAAGAGAAAACUAAACCCUGUUCCCAUUCCGGAAGCUGCUGUGCGAUGAAAUUACCCUUGGACCAAUCAGAGGAGCCACUGCCUGAGGUCUCUUUCUAGGUGCACAGAUGAGAAGGUGGACCUGAGACUUCUCCACACUGACAGCUAAUUAGCAACACACGACUGUCGAAGCCAUUCUCCCCGAGACAGCCGAGGUCUGCGUGUCAACAGGACGCUCUGAGUUUUCAUCUCAACAACUCGUGAGUCAGGCUGACCCAAAGACAAUAGAAGAAGUCAUGGCACCAGGCUAUCUGGAAAAAGCUCUUGGUAUAAAGUACCCUGAGUGGGACUGGGGCUGGG